CUCAAGCCUCCUGUGUGUAAACUCGCUGAAUUUCCACCUGCUUCUGCUUCCUUCUGGAAAGUCAGGUGCAGAGGUGCUCCAAAGAUUCAGGGAGAGGAUGAGUUGUGUCCAGAGCACUUGAUCUCCACUGAUUGGCUUUUUGGUGCUUUCUCUGGUUCAAGUCAACUGUUGAGUCCCAGGGAUACAGGAUAGAAAGGAGUCAACCCUCAGAUCCUUUGGGAGUAUUGGCAGGAUAAAAAUAAUAGCACUCUGAGAUCACCAUAAAGGAGAAGAAAUAUGGACCUGAGAGUUCAGAGGGGGCCUCUCCCAAGGCUGCCACAGGAACAGAUGAUUAUCUGUGGACAAAAAUGUUUGCUGUCAGCUGGGGGAGUAAAUUCUGUGUUGUAACUAAGGGGUGAUUUUCGGUCCUUUUGAAACUCAUGCCUUUUCUUCUUGCCUUAUUUCAAAAAAAUGUCUCAGAAGUAGAGAAAAGGAUAAGAUGAUUCUUUUCAGCUCUUCUCAGAAAAACUACCCAGUUUGCAGUGGUGACCCCAAUGAAUGGAUGCGCUUGUCCCUUCUCUCCCAUCCACCAAUCUCUCCAGGCAAGUCCACUCCAUCACAUUACAGAUAAGGACCCAAGGACGAGAAGGGGCACAUCUAGCCCAGGUGGACUCUGAGCUAUCUGGAACCUAUAGGUUGCCAUGUGAUUAAGACCACAGGAAGGACAUUCCCAGGCCUGCCCAUCAGAGGGAGAGGGCUGGAGCAUGGGGUAGGCAGAGGACAAGAGUCCAGCUCCACAUUAUGCCCCAUCACAACAGAGUCUGCAGCUUCGACCUGGCCUGUUUCCACCCACUCCUCAGG
rnacentral:lncRNA from 1 species